rnacentral:rRNA from 1 species
ACUCAAAUGAAUUGACGGGGGCCCGCACAAGCGGUGGAGCAUGUGGUUUAAUUCGAUGCAACGCGAAGAACCUUACCUACCCUUGACAUCCUAGGAAUCUUGAUGAAAGUUAAGAGUGCCGAAAGGAACCUGGAGACAGGUGCUGCAUGGCUGUCGUCAGCUCGUGUCGUGAGAUGUUGGGUUAAGUCCCGUAACGAGCGCAACCCUUGUCCUUCGUUGCUAACAGGUGAUGCUGAGAACUCGAAGGAGACUGCUGGUGAUAAACCGGAGGAAGGUGGGGAUGACGUCAAGUCAUCAUGGCCUUUAUGGGUAGGGCUACACACGUGCUACAAUGGGGAUAACAGAGGGAAGCGAACCCGCGAGGGGGAGCUAAUCCUUUAAAAUACCUCGUAGUCCGGAUCGGAGUCUGCAACUCGACUCCGUGAAGUCGGAAUCGCUAGUAAUCGCGAAUCAGAAUGUCGCGGUGAAUACGUUCCCGGGCCUUGCACACACCGCCCGU